GACGAACGCUGGCGGCGCGCCUAACUCAUGCAAGUCGAGCGGAGAUACUUGAAGGAAGUUUUCGGAUGGAAUUUGAGUAUUUUAGCGGCGGACGGGUGAGUAACGUGUGAGUGACCUGCCUUCCACAGGGGGAUAACGUACCGAAAGGUACACUAAUACCGCAUGAGACCACAGCACUGCCUGGUGCAGGGGUCAAAGGAGCAAUCCGGUGGAAGAUGGACUCGCGUCCGAUUAGAUAGUUGGUGGGGUAACGGCCUACCAAGUCAGCGAUCGGUAGCCGACCUGGGAGGGUGAUCGGCCACAUUGGAACUGAGAGACGGUCCAAACUCCUACGGGAGGCAGCAGUGGGGAAUAUUGGGCAAUGGGGGAAACCCUGACCCAGCGACGCCGCGUGAGGGAAGAAGGUUUUCGGAUUGUAAACCUCUGUUCUUGGUGAAGAGGGAAAGACGGUAGCCAAGGAGGAAGCCCCGGCUAACUACGUGCCAGCCGCCGCGGUAA
rnacentral:rRNA from 1 species